CGGGGCCGGUGGGCAGUUACAGUGCCUUCCGACCCCUGACCAUCAUUCACUAUCUAGGAGUAAAACGAUGGCUAA
rnacentral:sRNA from 1 species